rnacentral:rRNA from 1 species
GAUGAACGCUGGCGGCGUGCCUAAUACAUGCAAGUCGAGCGAACAGAUGAGAAGCUUGCUUCUCUGAUGUUAGCGGCGGACGGGUGAGUAACACGAGGGUAACCUACCUAUAAGACUGGGAUAACUCCGGGAAACCGGGGCUAAUACCGGAUAAUAUUUUGAACCGCAUGGUUCGCUAGUGAAAGACGGUUUCGGCUGUCACUUAUAGAUGGACCCGCGCCGUAUUAGCUAGUUGGUAAGGUAACGGCUUACCAAGGCGACGAUACGUAGCCGACCUGAGAGGGUGAUCGGCCACACUGGAACUGAGACACGGUCCAGACUCCUACGGGAGGCAGCAGUAGGGAAUCUUCCGCAAUGGGCGAAAGCCUGACGGAGCAACGCCGCGUGAGUGAUGAAGGUCUUCGGAUCGUAAAACUCUGUUGUUAGGGAAGAACAAAUUUGUUAGUAACUGAACAAGUCUUGACGGUACCUAACCAGAAAGCCACGGCUAACUACGUGCCAGCAGCCGCAGUAA